GGCUUUAUAGUCAAUAUUAAUGAUACUAGACUGCAAUUCUAGAGUAGGUAUACCCUAAAGUCU
rnacentral:tRNA from 1 species